rnacentral:rRNA from 1 species
CGGAGGAUCCAAGCGUUAUCCGGAAUCAUUGGGUUUAAAGGGUCCGUAGGCGGUCUUGUAAGUCAGUGGUGAAAGCCCAUCGCUCAACGAUGGAACGGCCAUUGAUACUGCAGGACUUGAAUUACUGGGAAGCAACUAGAAUAUGUAGUGUAGCGGUGAAAUGCUUAGAGAUUACAUGGAAUACCAAUUGCGAAGGCAGGUUGCUACCAGUGGAUUGACGCUGAUGGACGAAAGCGUGGGUAGCGAACAGGAUUAGAUACCCUGGUAGUCCACGCCGUAAACGAUGGAUACUAGCUGUUGGGGGGCGACCUCAGUGGCUAAGCGAAAAGUGAUAAGUAUCCCCACCUGGGGGAGUACGUUCGCAAGAAUG